UGGAAGAAGAUUACCCCUCUGUAACCAUUCUCAAAACCUUCUACUUUGUUAGCCAAAAAAUAAUCUCAGGAGGACAGCAGCACUCCAGUGUCUCCCCAGCAGCUUCGGUCACCUGAGAAAAGUUCUGUCAGUGGGAUUAUUUCUCUGCUGGUAAACUUCCCACCUGACAUUCAUUUACAUGAUUGAAAUGUAGACUUCAGAUGCCUGACUCCAUUCCUUUCUUCACUGCUUGACUCCCUGUGUAGCCAUGGCUCCCAUGGGGAAGAUGUGUGAGGUGAACACCAGAAGGAAGCACCAGCACAGGAGUUAACCACAUGACUAGCUAAAGGUCUGAAGAGGAUUUGCAAGCAAAGGGAGAAGGAAAAAGUGGGAAAGUACUGUGGAUAUUUCUCAAAACAAGUUGACCAUUAUGGAUUUCGUGUUAUCAAAGCCAUGGUUGCAACUCUAGGCUGUUUGGACUCCAAAUCAUCUCAUAUUCUUCAGAUUCUCUGGAAUGAGUUAGCAGAACAGCUUUUACUGAAAAAAAAAUCCAGCUGACUGAAGAAAAGCCCUCAGAUGGGACUUUCUUCUGCAGGCAAACAGAUUUCAAAAUAUGAAAAUUCUCUGAGAGAGAAUCCUUCCUUUUUCCACAUAGCACUAUUUCCAAGGUAACCUGGCCACAAAGAGUACUUCAAAGAGAUUGGAUGGUGCUGUUUGUUUGAAAUAAAAGCACAAUCAAUAAGGAUAUCUAAGCAUGAAGUGAAACUGCAUAGCCAUGUUGAAGAUCUUUAAAUAACCACUGAAUACUUCUG